ensembl:antisense 4930599N23Rik RIKEN cDNA 4930599N23 gene
GAGUCGUGGCCGCUCCCUUCGAGGCAGCAGCGUCCUGUGAGGCGAGUGGCGCGUUCAGCUAGGCCCGAGGGACGCCGCGGGGGGUUCAGUCAGCAACCUCGAUCUCGGAAAAGCCGAGAGAAGUUUCCAGACGGCGCCGGCCGGUUGCGGCCGGUUGGUGCGUCGGCCGGCGCGCUCAGGGGGGGCUCAGAAGUCGCCCGAGCCAAAGCGGGCUUUAGCAGGCGGGCCUCGGAAGCGGGGACGACGGACCCGGUCCCACCGCACCCCGGAACAAACGGAAACAGUCGCUCCGAAUUGCCAGACACUCCGCUUUUGUAGCGGAUCCCGCAUUUCCAGAAGGAAAGCGUAGAAGUCAAAACAACACUGCAAACCUCCUGGAGAAGACACCUUCACGGACAGACAAACGGACAGACAAAACUGAACUUGAGGUUCCUCACAGUCCUCACUAUUUCUGAGCACUCACGAUACAACUGCCUAAACUCAGGGUUACUGCCGUGGCAGCUGCUGGGAUCCUGGAGAGAGUUCUUCUCACCACUGCAAUCUGUGCUUUGUAUCUGCCUUUGUAAACACGAGGAAUAGUGCAACCCUGCCAUGGACAGCAUGCCCUGAAUAGCUUCUUCCUCUGUGCUCGUCGAGAAAGAAAAAAAAAAAGGCAACUUUCAAACCUCAAGAGCAUUUAUGGACGGACCAUGGUUUCAAGCAGUUUAUUACCUGGGCUCUUAUCUGCCUUUCUCUUCUGCAAGCACCACUGCAUAGCAACUCUUCUAUCAGCUCUCAGUGAUACACUGCCUUGCCCUGACAUAAUAACUACCAACUACAGAGGACCAGAUUUACUGGGAAUUAGUGGAAACUAAGAAAUUAAAAAUGAAUUCGGUAAUAU